GAAUUUGAGGGUGACCUGGCUUUGACAAGCCACCCCACGGAUCACUAGUGUUUUUUCAACUGAUCUUACUGGCUUGUUGGGUGCCCCCUUCCCCUCCACACUUCUGUGUCUGUCCUUCCUGAGGCAGAAUGCUCAGUCAAAAAGGACAUUUAAAAAAAUAUAUUACAGAACUCCUCAUGUUGAUUUCUGUUUAGAUAAUGAUCAAAUUACUAGUUUUUCUGAACCUACUAGGAUGGAAAAAAAU
rnacentral:snRNA from 10 species